AAAUUGAAGAGUUUGAUCAUGGCUCAGAUUGAACGCUGGCGGCAGGCCUAACACAUGCAAGUCGAACGGUAACAGGAAGCAGCUUGCUGCUUUGCUGACGAGUGGCGGACGGGUGAGUAAUGUCUGGGAAACUGCCCGAUGGAGGGGGAUAACUACUGGAAACGGUAGCUAAUACCGCAUAACGUCGCAAGACCAAAGAGGGGGACCUUAGGGCCUCUUGCCAUCGGAUGUGCCCAGAUGGGAUUAGCUAGUAGGUGGGGUAAUGGCUCACCUAGGCGACGAUCCCUAGCUGGUCUGAGAGGAUGACCAGCCACACUGGAACUGAGACACGGUCCAGACUCCUACGGGAGGCAGCAGUGGGGAAUAUUGCACAAUGGGCGCAAGCCUGAUGCAGCCAUGCCGCGUGUAUGAAGAAGGCCUUCGGGUUGUAAAGUACUUUCAGCGGGGAGGAAGGGAGUAAAGUUAAUACCUUUGCUCAUUGACGUUACCCGCAGAAGAAGCACCGGCUAACUCCGUGCCAGCAGCCGCGGUAAUACGGAGGGUGCAAGCGUUAAUCGGAAUUACUGGGCGUAAAGCGCACGCAGGCGGUUUGUUAAGUCAGAUGUGAAAUCCCCGGGC
rnacentral:rRNA from 1 species